GUUAGUUGGGUGUUUGCUGUUUCCAUUUGGCCUAAACUGUUAACCAUAAUAAUUUAGUUGCUUGCAGUUUUAUCUGACCCUUGCUUUUCACAUCUACCUCAAAUCAUGGAUUUACUGGAUGCUGGGACGUCAUUAACACCAAAAAUCAGGGAAAUGAUCUCAAGGGGAUCUGGAGAAAUGAAAUGCUCUGCAAGGCCAGACCAGACUCCGGAUUUCAUCACCCCUGCCUACGUCUGAGAUCCGCUCCAGUCCCUGAAGUCACACCAUAGGAUCCUUCUUCGUUCCUGCGGCAGUCCAUGCUGUGCUCCCCUCAGGCCCUGGAAAAGAGGGCCAGCCUUACCUUAGUGCUGCAUGCCUAUGUUUCUCCAGGAUGGAUGGACCACUGAUCACUGCAGUGUUCUUGCAUUCGCACGUUCCUCAGUGCCGCAUAUCUAAAUUUACAGGAUUCAGGCAGUGAAUCACUGCUAUACUCCCGGCUUGCUAAACGCGCUCACUGGCUGCUGAUUACAAUACCUUCCCUAUGCUUCGCCACUUGUUAUCACUUUAGAUGUCUGAGAUUGUAUGGUAACAUACGGCUGAAGAGCGUCACUGCUACUGACCUCUUUCAGUAACAUACUGAGAACCUUUUAGCAGUCAACAGCCUGA